rnacentral:lncRNA from 1 species
GUCUGUUUCUGAUAAGAUACUGUCCGAAUAGCCUCCGUUGUAAGGCCAAAUCCAAAUGGGAAUAAAGGAUUAUAAUUUUGAUCUCCUGCAUUCAUUGGGAGUUGAUCAACAGUCAUAAACCAGGUAUGUGGAAGCUUGCCCGUGAAUUCAUAGUCGCCAAACAAAACAUCUGCCACACCUUGUCCUUCUGAUCCAGGAAGCCAAGCAGCCACAAGGGCAUCAAUAGUAGACAUAUAAGGCUGAACAACUACUGGACGUCCAGUAACAAGGACAACAACACAUUUUACAUUGCCACAAACAUUAGUAAUAAUGCUUGGACC